rnacentral:rRNA from 1 species
GGUUAAGCGACUAAGCGUACACGGUGGAUGCCCUGGCAGUCAGAGGCGAUGAAGGACGUGCUAAUCUGCGAUAAGCGCCGGUAAGGUGAUAUGAACCGUUAUAACCGACGAUUUCCGAAUGGGGAAACCCAGUGUGACUCGUCACACUAUCAUUAACUGAAUCCAUAGGUUAAUGAGGCGAACCGGGGGAACUGAAACAUCUAAGUACCCCGAGGAAAAGAAAUCAACCGAGAUUCCCCCAGUAGCGGCGAGCGAACGGGGAGGAGCCCAGAGCCUGAAUCAGCAUGUGUGUUAGUGGAAGCGUCUGGAAAGGCGCGCGAUACAGGGUGACAGCCCCGUACACAAAAGCGCAUGUGCUGUGAGCUCGAUGAGUAGGGCGGGACACGUGGUAUCCUGUCUGAAUAUGGGGGGACCAUCCUCCAAGGCUAAAUACUCCUGACUGACCGAUAGUGAACCAGUACCGUGAGGGAAAGGCGAAAAGAACCCCGGCGAGGGGAGUGAAAAAGAACCUGAAACCGUGUACGUACAAGCAGUGGGAGCACCUUCGGGUGUGACUGCGUACCUUUUGUAUAAUGGGUCAGCGACUUAUAUUCUGUAGCAAGGUUAACCGAAUAGGGGAGCCGCAGGGAAACCGAGUCUUAACCGGGCGUUAAGUUGCAGGGUAUAGACCCGAAACCCGGUGAUCUAGCCAUGGGCAGGUUGAAGGUUGGGUAACACUAACUGGAGGACCGAACCGACUAAUGUUGAAAAAUUAGCGGAUGACCUGUGGCUGGGGGUGAAAGGCCAAUCAAACCGGGAGAUAGCUGGUUCUCCCCGAAAGCUAUUUAGGUAGCGCCUCGUGAAUUCAUCUCCGGGGGUAGAGCACUGUUUCGGCUAGGGGGCCAUCCCGGCUUACCAACCCGAUGCAAACUGCGAAUACCGGAGAAUGUUAUCACGGGAGACACACGGCGGGUGCUAACGUCCGUCGUGAAGAGGGAAACAACCCAGACCGCCAGCUAAGGUCCCAAAGUCAUGGUUAAGUGGGAAACGAUGUGGGAAGGCUCAGACAGCCAGGAUGUUGGCUUAGAAGCAGCCAUCAUUUAAAGAAAGCGUAAUAGCUCACUGGUCGAGUCGGCCUGCGCGGAAGAUGUAACGGGGCUAAACCAUGCACCGAAGCUGCGGCAGCGACACUGUGUGUUGUUGGGUAGGGGAGCGUUCUGUAAGCCUGUGAAGGUGUGCUGUGAGG